GGCAAUUUGGCCCUUUAAAAUAAAGCGUGUAGGACAAGGGACAGAUCUAGACGUUGCAAAAACUGGCCCUGGAGGACUGCAGUUUGAGACUGCUGAUCUAGAAGGCAAAGAAGCGGACAUCUCAUUGAUCAACACUGGCACUCUGCUGCAGUUUUCUGUGCUCGCUGCGUGGAUUAAAUGAAAUCAAAACAAACGCAGUCGACGGGGCUGCGCAGGAUACUUCCCCGUCCCCGGACUUCAGGGCCGAACAGCGGACGGCGACCAGCCUGUGAGCCGAGAGAGAGAGAGAGUAGCAGACUGGGACUGUUUCUUUUCCCUCCCGGACGUUUGAAAAGAGGAGAGAGAGGCAGAGAGAAAGUGUAGUCUGCCCCCCCUUUGACUGCACAGACACGCUUACAGAUAAGAGGAAAUACAGCGACAUCUACCGACCGGGGUAAGAGACUGCUCUCAUUUACAGUCUCUGUCCCCUCAGUGAUGCCGUCCAGGUGGGGCUCACACCGGCAGUUUCUUAGUUUUGGGGACAACUUUAACA